UACGGGAGGCAGCAGUAAGGAAUAUUGGUCAAUGGACGCAAGUCUGAACCAGCCAUGCCGCGUGAAGGAUGAAGGUCCUCUGGAUUGUAAACUUCUUUUAUUUGGGAAGAAACCCAUUUUUUCUAGAGUGGUUGACGGUACCAGAUGAAUAAGCACCGGCUAACUCCGUGCCAGCAGCCGCGGUAAUACGGAGGGUGCAAGCGUUAUCCGGAUUCACUGGGUUUAAAGGGUGCGUAGGUGGGCAGGUAAGUCAGUGGUGAAAUCUCCGGGCUUAACCCGGAAACUGCCAUUGAUACUAUCUGUCUUGAAUACCGUGGAGGUGAGCGGAAUAUGUCAUGUAGCGGUGAAAUGCUUAGAUAUGACAUAGAACACCAAUUGCGAAGGCAGCUCACUACGCGAAUAUUGACACUGAGGCACGAAAGCGUGGGGAUCAAACAGGAUUAGAUACCCUGGUAG
rnacentral:rRNA from 1 species